CACCGCCCGUCACACCAUGGGAAUCGAUUGCUCCAGAAGUGCCUGAGCCAACCGCAAGGAGGCAGGGCCCCAAGGAGUGAUCGGUAACUGGGGUG
rnacentral:rRNA from 1 species